rnacentral:rRNA from 1 species
UACGAAGGGGGCUAGCGUUGCUCGGAAUCACUGGGCGUAAGCGCCCGUAGGCGGCUUGUUAAGUCAGGGGUGAAAUCCUGGAGCUCAACUCCAGAACUGCCUUUGAUACUGGCGAGCUUGAGUUCGGGAGAGGUGAGUGGAACUGCGAGUGUAGAGGUGAAAUUCGUAGAUAUUCGCAAGAACACCAGUGGCGAAGGCGGCUCACUGGCCCGAUACUGACGCUGAGGUGCGAAAGCGUGGGGAGCAAACAGG